GAUGAACGCUAGCGGCAGGCCUAACACAUGCAAGUCGAGGGGUAACAUAGGAAAGCUUGCUUUUCUGAUGACGACCGGCGCACGGGUGCGUAACGCGUAUACAACCUACCUUUUAGCGGGGAAUAGCCCAGGGAAACUUGGAUUAAUGCCCCAUAGUAUAUAGACUUCUCCUGAAGUUUAUAUUAAACAUUUAUGGCUAUUAGAUGGGUAUGCGUCCUAUUAGUUAGUUGGUAAGGUAACGGCUUACCAAGGCAGCGAUAGGUAGGGGUCCUGAGAGGGAGAUCCCCACACUGGUACUGAGACACGGACCAGACUCCUACGGGGGGCAGCAGUGAGGAAUAUUGGACAAUGGGCGAGAGCCUGAUCCAGCCAUGCCGCGUGCAGGAAGACUGCCCUAUGGGUUGUAAACUGCUUUUACAGAGGAAGAACCACCCCCACGUGUGGGGGUUUGACGGUACUCUGCGAAUAAGGAUCGGCUAACUCCGUG
rnacentral:rRNA from 1 species